UUUUAAGCUUUAGUAUUUUCUUCAUCUUCAUGCGGAUUUUAAUCUUUUUUUUUUCUUUUUUUGGUGUUACAAGUUGGAAAGUGGGAUUCUUGAAUCUUUUUUUUUUUUUAAAUAAUUAUUCUACCGUUUUCCUUGUGUUGUUAGAAGGCAGAAUAUGGGAUUCUUGAAUACCCAUUUUUUUUUUUUUUUUUGUGCUUAUUUUUGUAUUGUUAAAGGUUGAAAUUUGGGAAUUUUGAAUACCCUUUUUAAUUUCCAGUAUCAUUUCAUUACUUUCAUUUGCGUGAGUAUGCUUAUUGUUAUUGAUUAAUUAUUCUUUUAUUUUCCUAUUCUUAUGUUUCUAUUUCAAUUGCUUGAUUGGUUAGCCUUGAUUAUUGUAUUUCCUUGUUGUUGUCCUUGCAUGUUUCUGUGGUCGUCCCUUUGCCGGUUUCUACUUCUAAUAGUUUACUCUCCAUCAUCUUGGAUAAUAGUUUGCUUGGAGAAUUCACAUGCUCGUUCAGGAGGCAGAUGCCUUUCCAUAGAGUAUACAGACAAAGUCGGAGAGCUAUCAAAGAAAUAUGGUCUGAAGCUGCAAAUUGAUAGCGCCCAUAUAUUCAAUGCAUCAGUUGCACUUGAACUGCCUGUUCAUAGGCUUGUACAGGCUGCUGAUUCAGUUUUGGUUAGAUUUUAUUGAAGCCUGGCAUAUUUGUUUUGCUCAUAUGAGGAUCAUAUUCUGAGGAAGACAUCUUCUCAAUGUACCUUCACAUGGAUAAGUUCAAUUCUUCGUCGUUGUCUUCUGAUUUCCAAGUGUGUGUCUUCUUCAGCAGCUGUAGCUUCAUGUUCAUCAUAAACACAAGGAAUGGCAUCAGCGACAAAUAAAGUUGCUCCUACUGUUAGUGAGAAGCCAAGAGUUAGGCAUCAGCAUAGCCAGUCCGUGGAUGGUUCAACUACAAUCAAACCAGAGAUACUCAUGUCAGUAGUGUGGAAGAGCCAUCUUCAGUUGAAACUGAGAAAGCAACAUCCAAUGCUAAGCUUGCUGAACUUGCUCUUAUUGAUCCAACUCUUUGGGCUUAUUGACAAAGAAAUUCAUUAAUUUGCUUCCAAAGGCUGAUGAUGGAACACUUGAUUUGAACCAUUCUGCAGAUGUUUUGGAGGCAAUUGACCAAAUGACCAUAUCAUCAAAAAAUCUGAAACCUCAAGACAUACACCAACAAAAGGCGGUUGCUUGUGGCUUUUUCAUUUGGUUUUCAUCAUGGGGUUUGAGUUGGCAUCUAUGGGUGUCAAUGGUCAGAGUAUUUCACAACAAUGCAGUUUCUUUGCCAAUAGGUAUGUAAAUGUUUA